UGAAUCAUUUCCGGAAAAAAGUGAAAUUCUCAUGGCGAAACGGGUAUUGUCAUGUCAUGCUUUCAUCCUCAAUUUGAUGCCCUUUUUUGUAUCUUGAGAAUCCAAAAGUUCUGAGGCUAUGAAGAUUAUCUUAAAAAGACUGAAAUAUUGGAGUUAAUUCCAAGGCCUGGCUUGGCAAAGACAACGUGGAAGGUCUGUGAAGGAGGAUGAGAAAUAAUAAGUUUCUUGUUGUCCCCUCUCACGAGGCAGCCGAUCUUUGCAGCCAUGGCCGUUUUAGCUCUGCUCUUUGAUUAAAUAGGCGAAAAUCUGAGCCUCCUUACCUCAGUUUUACUUCAGUUUGAUCACUGAAACAGUAUCUUUUAGAAGCUUUCUUGAAUUGAUCUAAAAAUUCAGUUAUUGCUUUCAAUCUUAAACUGAUUUGAUUUUCAACAAUGUGUGGGAUAAUUGGGUUUGCAUGAAAAAAGUACCAACAAAUGGCAUGGUCUCGAGUCUUGAUGCCUUCAUGUCCACACUAAUUUAAAGCUAUGUUACUCGGACUCUCCUAAAAUGUUGUCGGGUGCGUGUCGGAUCCUUCAAAAGUAGUGUAUUUUUGGAGGAUCCGACACGGGUGCGGCAACACUUUCGAAGAGGUGCUGAGUGCUGUCUUUCGUUCUUUUAUGCUGUCGCGAGCAUUUAAUGCUGCCGGAAGUGGUGCUGAGUAUAAUCGGCGGCUAAAAAGAGGCGGUGAUGAAUGCUAUGAUUCUUUCGUUCCCUUCUGAGCUUAUUAAUCGGGCUUCUUGAGAUUAUCCGACCCGUAUCUUGGCGGGGUAGGACUCCAGAUUUUCUGGUGGUUUUUGCAGCCAUGGCGUUGCGGAUCUCUCUUUGCCUAGCUCUUUUCCUGAGCUAUAACACAGAUCUGAGCCUCAAUUUCUGAGAAAAUGGGAUUAUUUGACUGAACUCCAGCCAAUUCCUCAGCUGCUGAACUUGCGCAGUUACGAUCUCUUUACUGGCAAAAAUCUUAGAUGGGAGAGAAUGAAGCUACGGAAAGUUUAAGUUUUUUUCGUUGAAAGGGUGGUUGCCUCUCUCUGCAUUAGCCCAUGAUUUCUCCAUUAUUGUGAAGAACCGCAACAGCCCUUUCUUUGCUCUUUCGGAUUGAAGAGCGGUCUCAAAAAUUAGCUAUCUGUUGCAUAUACAUUCAAAUAUCUCUAUAACCCUUAUUCUCAAUAACAACAUUUUGCUAUGACAGCUAAAAAAUACUUAGACAAAUGGCUCUGUUAUAGAGAGAUUUGAUUGUAUUCCCUCUCAGUGGGAGUAUUGAUCAGGAUGCAUUUGGAGUUUUGGACAAUAUUUGUGUUGAAACUUAAAGGGUUUCCAUGUCCUUCCAUGUUGUAUGCUAAUGCCAUGCAUCUUUCUGUUUCUUUCUUUCCUUCUUUCUUUUGUUUGGUGGUGGUGAGUAUAAUUGGCCGCUAAAAAGAGGCGAUGAUGAUUUCUGUGAUUGUUUCAUGGAACAACAACAUACCCAGUGUAAUACACAGACCUCACCCCUACAUAGUGGAUUGCUUCACGGGAACAGGAUCAAAUUUGCCCCUCUACUGUUCUAAAAGGAUUAUUGUUGUCUCCCUUCUGAGCUUAUUAGUCGGGUAUUUCAGAUUAUCCGACCCGUAUCUUGGCGGGGUAUGACCCCAGAUUUUCUGGUGGUUUUUGCAGCCAUGGCGUCGUUGGACUCUCUGUUAUGCCUUAGCUUAAACACAGAUCUGAGCCUCAAUUUCUGGGAAAUUGGAAGUAUUUGACCUGGAAGGUUUGCAAAUCACAUUAGUUUAAGUCUGAGGCGGCGGAGAAAGCAGGGAGCUGUUGGGAGUUUCUAUGGGUGGUUUUCCCUCCCUCUGUCAUUUCCUCCUCUGCCAAUGAUACUCAAAUGAAAAAUAUUUCCAAUUACAAAACCACCCUUGAUCGAUUUACUUAUUACUCCCUCUGUUCCAAUUAUUAGAGGCUAUGAAGAUUGUUGUUUGUGAAAAAAAGGAAUCUGACAUUUUACUUUUGAGCUGAAAAGACUGUAGGCGUUUGGACAAUAUUUGAUUGAUGUUGAUAAAAUAUAAUCUUAUCUUGGCGUGGCGUGGCAGCUCACAUGUGUCUGUGAGGUGUGGGGAGAAAAUAUCCAUUUUUGGUGUUUCUUCUGUGUCUCACAAGGCUAUCUGAAGCUUGCGGCCAUGAUAUGUUUUUUAAAGCUCUUUGAGUUUUGUCUGGAAAAGAGUCAGAAUCUGAGCCUACCCCAUUACCUUUAUUCUGCUGAAAGAAUGAGGCGUUUCUGACUCAGAGAAUGAAUUCUCUGGGUCAGAACAAGUUAUGCCGGCAUGGUGAGUAUGAUUGACAGCUUAAAAGAGACUGAUGGGUUUGUAUAUCUUUUGUAUUAAUCAGGCAUUUGAGAUAAUCGUACACGUAUCUUGGCGGGGCAUGCCCCCAGAUUUUCUGGUGGUUUUUGCAGCCAUGACGUGCCAGACUCUCCUUUUGCCCAAGUUAUAACACAGAUCUGAGUCUCAAUUUCUGGGAAAAUGGAAACUCAAAGGAAAUUCUUUUUUCUUAAUUCAAGACCUGAAGGGUCUUCCCCCCCAAUUGCUCUUGAGAGAUGGAAAGAUGCAAAGGGAAGAACAAAAACUCGGUAGGGAGAGAAUGAGGCUACAAGGGAGUAAAGGUUUUUUGUUGAAAGGGUGGUUGCCUCUCUCUGUAUUAGCCCGUGAUUUCUCAACAACCCCAACAGCUCUUUCUUCAGGACUAUUUGUGCAAAUUAUCCCUUCCCUCUUACAUAGGGACUAUUAACAGCCUGUUUGGAUUGCUAUUGCGAUAAAUAUUCUUGUUCUUUCCUUUAUGCUUCUUUGGAGCAUUCAAUGAUGCCUGUGGGUGUGGUAGAAGUGUCGGUGGUUAGUAUGAUUGUCGGCUUGAUAGAGGCGAUGAUGAUUUUGUCAAUUCCUUCAAUCCCUUAUGAGCUUAUUAAUCGGGCAUUUGAGAUUAUCAGGGCCGUAUCUUGGCAGGGCAUGGCCCCAGAUAUUUUGGUGGUUUUUUGCAGCCAUGGUGUUUCCGGACUCUCCUUUUGCCGCUUUAGCACAGAUGUGAGCCUCAAUUUAUGUGAAAAUGGAAAUUUUGGGCCGAUUUUGGAACUCCGGCAAAAUCCUGUGCUGUUGAACUUUGCACCAUCUCUUUACCGGCGAGCUCUUCGUCUGAUCUCUUUAUUGGUGAAACCUAGUUGUAUGUUUCAUCUUCUUUGUCAAACUCAAAAACCCUAAGUCCCUUUUUUACGGAUUUCCAAAGGUGGGAUUUAAGUGGUAUAUCUGGUUCUACCUGAUUGGACUGAAGCAGACAUUCGAUGGGCUUUUAUUUUAAGGCCCACAAAUGGUUAGAACACACAAGGAGAUUUCAGUAGUGGCUGAGAAGUGACCAUUUGUGAAUUUUACCCGAAAUUUCACCGGUAUCCCUUUUGUGAGCUGGUGCAAAAUUUUUCGUUAUGUAUUAGAGGCUACGAAGAUUGUUUGUGUGAAAGAUGAAUCAGACAUUUUCCUCUUGGAGCUGAAAAACUGUUUAGGCGUUUGGACAUGAAUUGAGUUGACAUUGAGAACUAGUGUUAUCUUGGCGUGGCAGCUCAGAUUGGUCUGUGAGAUAUGGAGAGGCGAGAUCCAUUUUUGGUUUGUCUUCUAUGUCUCAUAAUUCUAACUGAUGCUUGCAGCCAUGGCAGUAUUAAACUUAUAUAUGCAUUUGCCCCUCUACAUACAACGACUCAUCUUUAAUCUCUGCAUUAGCCCAUGAUUUCUAUGUUAAUGAAAGAACCAAACAGCCUUUCUUCGCUCUUACGGGUGAAAGAGCGGUCUAAAGAAAUGGCUAUUUGUGCACUUUAUGCCACUGGUCCCAGUAGUGGAAACAGCGGUGCUGAAUAUAUAGACAAUUGAGGCAAAAAGACCUUGUAAAUCUUGAAUUUUAAGGAAUUGUCCAUCCCUUUUUAAAAAAAAAUUGAAAUUGGAAGAUGAAAACGUGGUCGGCACAAUCCGAACCUGCGCAGGCAAAGCCCACAUGAUUUCUAGUCAUGCCCGAUAACCACUCUGGCACGACCACAUGGUACAGAUUUUUUUUUUUAUGCGUGCAUCCCUUUUGUUUCCUCUCUUUUUAAUGUAUAUUAUUGAGGUUGCGAAUAUAAUCAGUGUCAUAUCUUAUUCCCUUCUGAGCUUAUUGUUCGGGCAUUUCAGAUCAUCCGACUCGUUUCUUGGCAGUGCACGCCCCCAGAUUUUCUGGUGAUUGUUGCAGCCAUGGCGUCGUUGGAUCUCUGUUUGCUUGAGCUAUUACGCAGAUCUGGCCUCAAUUUCUGGGAAAUUAGAAAUAUUGGCACAAAUGGGGUACUUUGAGGGCUGCUGUUUAAAGUUUUUGUCAGUGGUAAUAUGAUUGACGGCAUGAAAGAGGGAUGAUGAUUCUAACAGUCUUUCAUUCCCUUCUGAGCUUAUUAAUUGGGCAUUUGGGAUUAUCCGGCUCGUAUCUUGGCAGGGCAUGCCCCCAGAUUUUUUGGUGGUUUUCGAAGCCAUGGCGAUGUCCGAUCUCUUUUUGCAUCUGUCUAGUUGAAGUGUCAAAGUGAUCAUUAUCUAACUGACAAUUCGUGCCAAGUUUGAGGGGCUAUCUAUAUAUUUGGCCUAUCUAAAAUAACUAUACGAUGCAAUGUGUAACAACCAUCCAAACAAGCUGUUAUUGAUUCGUUUGGUUUAGAGACAAGUUAUGCCAGUGGUAUGAGUAUGAUUGACGGCUUAAAAGAGGGAUGAUGGCUUUGACAAUCUUUCAUUUCCUUUUGAGCUCUUAUUAAUUGGGCAUUUGAGAUUAUCCGGCUCGUAUCUUGGCAGGGCAUGCCCCAGCUUUUCUGGUGGUUUUCGCGGCCAUGGCAAUGUCCGAUCUCUUUUUGCAUCUGUCAAGUUGAAAUGUCGAAGUGAUCACCAUCUAACUGACAAUUCAUGGCAAGUUGAGGGACUAUCUAUGUAUCUGGCCUAUCUAAAAUAACAAUACGAUACAAUGGGUAACCACCAUCCAAACGAGCUUUUGUUGAUCUGUUCGGUUUAGAGACGAGUUAUGCCGGUGGUAUGAGUAUGAUUGACGGCUGGGAGGCGAUGAUGAUUUUGUGAAUUCCCUUCUAAGAUUAUUAAUCUGACAUUUGAGAUUAUCUCGAUUUCUAGGAAUUCUUUUUAGUUUUGGUGAAAGCGGAGAGCUGUGUGGGGUCUCUAUGGGUGGUUUUGCCCCUCUCUGUCAUUCUCCGCUGCCGAUGAUCUCUCAAAUGGAGGUUUUUCCAAUUGCAAAACCACGCUUAGUUGAACGAUUUAUUACUCCUUCCGUUCCAUUUUUUAGAGGCUAUGAAGAUUGUUCUUUGUGAUAGAUGAAUCAGACAGUUUCUUCUUGGGCUGAAAAGACUGUUUAGGCAUUUGGACAAUAUUUGGUUGACAUUGAAACAACCAUAAGCAUAUCUUGGCAUGGCAGCUCAGAUGGGUCUGUGUGAUGUGGAAAGAAAAGAUCCAUUUUUGGUGUUUCUUCUCUGUUUGAUAAGGCUAAUGAUGCUUGCAGCCAUGUCAGCUUUUAAAGCUCUUUCGAUUUUGUCUGAGAAAAGCGAAUCUGAGCCUACCCUGUUAUCUUGAUUGUUCUAGAAAAAUGAGGCUUUUGCGACUCUGAGAAUGCUGGAGUUCCUAAGGGUGGUUCCUCUGUUUCUCUGUGAGUUCAUAGCCGAUGAAUUCUUUUGUCAUCAAGAACCCUCGCAUUGCAAAAUGCUAAUGAUUGAGUGGCCAUCUUAUCUAAAUCUUUAAGCUGUUAGAGAAAGAGUACACUUUUAUUACUUAUAUUAUAUCUCAACGAUCAAUCAACUAUGGCUCAUCCCCAAAUAGUUGGGGUCGGCUAUAUAACCUCUGGAUCCUUUCCGAUCUAAACCCUAAACCUAAUCAUUGAGGCUGCGAUGAUCUUAUCUGGUAAGCUUGAUAUCUCGGAUACUUGAGCUGAUUUGUAUCUUGGUUUGGCAAAGUUCAGGGAAAGUUUUGGGAGCUGGUUCUAUUCUCUGUCUCACAAAAGCUUUGGCAUUUGCACCCAUGACAGAUUAGCCUUUUUCUGAUAGUUUUAGACAAAUCUGAGCCUCAUUUGUUUGUAACUUCCUAUUCCUUCUACAAUAUUAUAGUCUUCUUUCUUCUUUAUGUUUGCAUUUCUCCUACAUUUUCAUUUCCCCUCUUCACAACAAGAACAACACUUUAAUCUUAAACAAGUUAUAGUCAGAUAUAUGAAUACUUAAUAUUCAUUCUGCGCCAUUUUGGCUCGUUUUGUUCCUAUGUUCAAUAGUUUGAGGUUCUCUAACACUCAGUGAAAAAAACAUUAGUGGGGAGUUUCCAUUGGUGGACCCUAUAUGUCAUUCUCCGCAGUCAAUGAUAACGCAAAUGAUUUUUUUCAAAAUUAGAAGUCACCCUUUUGGUGAAAUUAUAGAUCACGUCCCUAUUUCCCUUCUCUUGUUUGAGCCUCCGCCAUACCCUAAGCGGAAAUCUGAGCCUCCUCCAUACCUUAGUUUAACUUUUGUUUGAUCACUACAACUGGACAUUGGAGAAGCUUUCUGCGAAUAAAUUUGAACUUCUAGUUAUUGGUUUCAGUCUUAAACUGAUUUGGUUUUUGAAGUUCUGACAUUAUUGGGUUUCCAUGAAGAGAGUAACAAAAAUGGCAUAAAAACAGCCAAACUCCAGACCAUGCCAUACUAGAAACAAGGAUGUUGGCAAAAACUGUUGAUGGUGAGGGUGGACAGAAAAGCAAUCCUUCUAUUCAUCACUGGUUAUCAUACGUGACAUUACAAAUGGCAGUCUUGAUGGAGAUGAUAUCAAGAUUCCUUGGUCCAAGGAAUUCAGCAUUCUUGAAGACAAAAUUACAGGUUAAAGAGAGAAUACGCGAGAAGCAUUAUUCUUUGUUGCUCUUGAGUUGCUCAAUUAGUGCAGCAUUUUGAUAAUCAUGUCAGCACCACCUUCUCUUUCGCGCUUUCCAUUGGCAAGAUUAGUUGCUCUUCGGUUAUUCUCCAUUGAUGACUACAUUUCAAGUAAUAACCAAAGCUGUCAAUUUUAAGGGUACGAUGUUAAUGUACAGAUGAUCUGACAUCCUUUUCAAGGAUCCAAGAACCAUUUUUAUUAUUAGAUCAUUUUAAAGCAUCCCAAAGAACCAGUGAAUACUACCCUCUGACAGGUGCUAAAUCGAGAUCCAAUUCUUAGUCUGUACUUUCUGGGUAUCUUUGUCGCUUUUAGACUAGCUGCAAAGAGGAACCACAAGUUUGCAAGAAUGGUAUGUAAAUAACUUCUGUUUAUGUUUUAUCUCUAAUUGAGCGUGCACCUUUUUCUGAAAAUAUGGUCUUCUUGGUGUAUGUGCAUUGUGGGAUUUCGGUUUUUUUUUUUUUUUUGGAAGGGGGUAGGGUGGUUUUGAUCCCUGAAAAUCUACAUCUUGAUUAACUAAGACUGACCACUGCACAUACUACUGUAUAUGCCGAAGUGAGUGAUGCCUGUCACCAAUGGGCAAUGUGGCAGUUGGCGGAGACAGGACUUUAUGCGAGGGGAUUCAAAAAAAUAUUAGAAUAUCA